AUUAAUAAGCGGAGGAAAAGAAACUAACCAGGAUUCCCCUAGUAACGGCGAGUGAAGCGGGAAUAGCCCAGCACCGAAUCGCACGCCGUCAGGCGUCGCGAACUGUGGUGUUUAGGACGAGCGCAUGUACGUCGGAGCGGCGUCCGAGUCCUCCUGAUUGGGGCUUUGCCAUAGCGGGUGUCAGCCCUCUACGGCGCCGCGACGACGUGCCCGCCACGUCCUCGGAGUCGGGUUGUUUGAGAAUGCAGCCCAAAGCUGGUGGUAAACUCCAUCUAAGGCUAAAUACAGACACGAGUCCGAUAGCGAACAAGUACCGUGAGGGAAAGUU
rnacentral:rRNA from 1 species